rnacentral:rRNA from 2 species
GGGCGUUAAGUUGCAGGGUAUAGACCCGAAACCCGGUGAUCUAGCCAUGGGCAGGUUGAAGGUUGGGUAACACUAACUGGAGGACCGAACCGACUAAUGUUGAAAAAUUAGCGGAUGACCUGUGGCUGGGGGUGAAAGGCCAAUCAAACCGGGAGAUAGCUGGUUCUCCCCGAAAGCUAUUUAGGUAGCGCCUCGUGAAUUCAUCUCCGGGGGUAGAGCACUGUUUCGGCUAGGGGGCCAUCCCGGCUUACCAACCCGAUGCAAACUGCGAAUACCGGAGAAUGUUAUCACGGGAGACACACGGCGGGUGCUAACGUCCGUCGUGAAGAGGGAAACAACCCAGACCGCCAGCUAAGGUCCCAAAGUCAUGGUUAAGUGGGAAACGAUGUGGGAAGGCCCAGACAGCCAGGAUGUUGGCUUAGAAGCAGCCAUCAUUUAAAGAAAGCGUAAUAGCUCACUGGUCGAGUCGGCCUGCGCGGAAGAUGUAACGGGGCUAAACCAUGCACCGAAGCUGCGGCAGCGANNUGCUGGAGGUAUCAGAAGUGCGAAUGCUGACAUAAGUAACGAUAAAGCGGGUGAAAAGCCCGCUCGCCGGAAGACCAAGGGUUCCUGUCCAACGUUAAUCGGGGCAGGGUGAGUCGACCCCUAAGGCGAGGCCGAAAGGCGUAGUCGAUGGGAAACGGGUUAAUAUUCCCGUACUUGGUGUUACUGCGAAGGGGGGACGGAGAAGGCUAUGUUGGCCGGGCGACGGUUGUCCCGGUUUAAGCGUGUAGGUGUGUGUUCCAGGUAAAUCCGGUUCACUUUAACACUGAGGCGUGANNNNNNNNNNNNNNNNNNNNNNNNNNNNNNNNGGAGCUGAAGUCAGUCGAAGAUACCAGCUGGCUGCAACUGUUUAUUAAAAACACAGCACUGUGCAAACACGAAAGUGGACGUAUACGGUGUGACGCCUGCCCGGUGCCGGAAGGUUAAUUGAUGGGGUCAGCGCAAGCGAAGCUCCUGAUCGAAGCCCCGGUAAACGGCGGCCGUAACUAUAACGGUCCUAAGGUAGCGAAAUUCCUUGUCGGGUAAGUUCCGACCUGCACGAAUGGCGUAAUGAUGGCCAGGCUGUCUCCACCCGAGACUCAGUGAAAUUGAACUCGCUGUGAAGAUGCAGUGUACCCGCGGCAAGACGGAAAGACCCCGUGAACCUUUACUAUAGCUUGACACUGAACAUUGAGCCUUGAUGUGUAGGAUAGGUGGGAGGCUUUGAAGUGUGGACGCCAGUCUGCAUGGAGCCGACCUUGAAAUACCACCCUUUAAUGUUUGAUGUUCUAACGUGGACCCGUUACCCGGGUUGCGGACAGUGUCUGGUGGGUAGUUUGACUGGGGCGGUCUCCUCCUAAAGAGUAACGGAGGAGCACGAAGGUUGGCUAAUCCUGGUCGGACAUCAGGAGGUUAGUGCAAUGGCAUAAGCCAGCUUGACUGCGAGCGUGACGGCGCGAGCAGGUGCGAAAGCAGGUCAUAGUGAUCCGGUGGUUCUGAAUGGAAGGGCCAUCGCUCAACGGAUAAAAGGUACUCCGGGGAUAACAGGCUGAUACCGCCCAAGAGUUCAUAUCGACGGCGGUGUUUGGCACCUCGAUGUCGGCUCAUCACAUCCUGGGGCUGAAGUAGGUCCCAAGGGUAUGGCUGUUCGCCAUUUAAAGUGGUACGCGAGCUGGGUUUAGAACGUCGUGAGACAGUUCGGUCCCUAUCUGCCGUGGGCGCUGGAGAACUGAGGGGGGCUGCUCCUAGUACGAGAGGACCGGAGUGGACGCAUCACUGGUGUUCGGGUUGUCAUGCCAAUGGCACUGCCCGGUAGCUAAAUGCGGAAGAGAUAAGUGCUGAAAGCAUCUAAGCACGAAACUUGCCCCGAGAUGAGUUCUCCCUGAGACUUAGAGUCUCCUGAAGGAACGUUGAAGACGACGACGUUGAUAGGCCG